rnacentral:lncRNA from 1 species
UGUGAAAUGUCUUCAUAGAAUCUUGGUGAAAACAUUUCACAAUUUGUCUCCUGUAUAAACUUUUCCAAUAGGCUUACGUAUGUUUCUUUUUAAUAUUCAAAAUACAGUAGUUUAAUACCCGGACCACGAUUCCUCCUGAAAAACCGGAGGUAUGGGGCUAGAAAUUGAACUCGGUCCAAAGUAGUAAGCCAUUACUUUAUCAUGCAGUCAUCUAGCCGACAAUUGAGUUUAGGGAUGAAAUGUAUACUAUAUUCAGAGUUUCUCAUAAUUUACGUAUAUUGCAAUGGAUCAAUCGUUCGGAUUCAUAGCAUGAAAACGAUUAAAUUUUUUCAAUCAGAGGACCCGAGAUCAAAUCCUAGCUUGGGAAAAUUAUUUGAGGAUCCGAGCCAUUCUUGUAUAUAUCCUUCCUGUAUGGAACGCUGAA